UAAUUUAAUCCCGGUCGAAAAAACGGGACCUAAUCGGAUUCCAUUUUGUUAAAUACGGUUAACAAAUUGUAAUAAUGUUUUGGAACUCUUUUUAAUAAUAUCGCCCGCAAAUUUCCGUCGUUAUUAGGGAAUAUUUUUUCGGUUAUUUUUUACCGCAAAAUAUCGUCGAUUUCGUUUAUUAAAAUACGAUAAAAGGUUAAAUCCUCCUAUAUUAAACGUAUAAAUUAUAUAACGCCUAUUAUAGUAAUAUUUACCUGUCGGUUUUUAUAUUAAUUUACCGCGUUUCUUUUAGUAUAUAUUUUCCUUUGGCAUUUUCUUAUAUGCCGAAAAGGUUUUCAGCCUUUUUAAUUUUUUUUUUGGAUAUAAUUUAGGUUUAUUAUUUUAAUUUUCAAUUUCGGUAGGUUAUAAAAUUCCCGUUAUAUUUUUUAUAAAUUCGGAUCGGCGUAAAUUUCCCGGGGCGUGGGGACUUCCCAGGUUUAUCCCGACCUGGCCAGCAGUUUUACUUUCCAAAAUAUCGACGGAGGGCGUUUUGUUAUUUUUUUCAAAAUUUAAAUUCGUCGCUAUAUUAUUCGUUAUCGGGAAACCGAUUGAUUCUUUUUUUCCAAAGCCGCAUUUCGACGAUCCGCGUCCAACUGGUAUAUGGUGUCACGGCCCGGGGUAGGCAUAGCACGGAAGCUAGUUUAUUGGCAUCUAUCGAGGAAGAUUCUAUUCUGAGGAGAGGAAAGGAAACAAACAAAGUUCUGAGCUUGACGCGACGUCGAUAAAAGUAUUACCCUGGUGGGUCGUUGGUCAGGGGUUAGGGUUAGGGUCUGGUGAUCUUAUGGUCCAAAUGUCAUAUAUGGGGUUUAUAAACCCUGGAUCUGAUAAUUAGGUUAUAUUAAUAUUUCGAUAAUAUAUAGCCAAUAAAGGUAAAUUUUCCGGAAACCAAAACUGUCGGUAACGAUAAUUAGUAAAUAUUCCGUCCUCCGCCAAAAGAAAUCGUCCCACAAUUAUUUUUUAUAAUAUAUCCAAUAUUAGUAUCGGUAUUUUGCGGAAUUUCUGGCCUUAUAUUAUAAUAAUAGUUAAUGCAGCAAUAUUAAUUUGUUACGAAAUUUUUCCGUUAUAAUUUCCAAUUUUUUGGGGGUGGAAACCGAUGAUUUUAAGGGUUUUUAACGUUAUAUAUAAUCGCCGAGCAAAUUAUUUGCUAAUAAAAACAUAUUUAUUUGCUCCGGUAUUAAUUAAAAUACAAAUAUUAUAAUUAAAUUGGUUUAAAAAAAUAUUGGCCGUUAUAAAUAUAAGGUUACUGUUUAAAUAUCUACGUAAAAGAACGUAGGGUAUUGGUUUUUCUAGCAAUUUUUACUUUGCAGCGAUUUUUUCUUUUAAUUCGCAAAUUUCGGUGGUUAAUUACACUUUUUUUGAAAAGGAGUCCAAUUUCCCCAAAACAAUUAAUUUUCCAAUAUAACGACGUUUUUUCCAAACAUAUCGAUACGUUUUCCAUAAUAAUUUGCAAUAAUUUAAUUAAUUCGGUUUUCGGAAAUGGUGGGGUAAUUUGUAUUACCGUUAAAACGAUUCCUAUUAAUAUAGCCCGGUUUACGGUAUUAAAAACAUUUACCUGUUCGGAUAAAUUUACGCAUUUUCUCCACAUUUAAUUUGCUUUUUUCUUUUCGUUAAUAACGUUUCCGAUUAUCCGGGCUGGUUUUCCAAUACGUAAAAUAAUAAACCUUGUAUGGUUUUUUUAAUUAAAAUAAUUUUUGUUUUGAUUUUAUUUUCGGUCCGCGAGGCGUAGAUUUUGGUAAAAUUAUAAAAAAUACUAUCGGCCGUACGGACGUAAACGUUAAACAAAACGUUAAUAUCCUGGUGGUAUAUAAUUAUUAUAAUUUGCAAAUUGGUAAAUAAACGGCGGUGCAAUUCCCGUUUCCAAUUUCGUUCCGGAAAACCGUUUUAACCUACCAGUUUAACGAAUUUGUUUUUAAAAAUUAUAAAUUAUUUUUCGUUAAUAUAAUUAAUUUGUCCAAUUCGUUCCGCGUUAUACUUUCAAAUUUGGUAUGCUUUGUUACGGCCAGGCGUACAUUGGAGAACCUCAGUGUAUUAGGCGCUAUUAACGAAGAUUUUAAACUGAAGAGAAAAGAGAAAUUACAAUCGACGACGCGCUCAAAAGACGCGUUUAAAUCCGGAGUUAGUGGACCCUUGUCCGAUCCUUGGCUCGGCCUGGAGCUGAGUCGUUCUGAGGGUAGGUCUAGGGGUCUGAUCCUCACAUGCUUAUAUUUUUCGCGCAAAUAGCCUAUUAUACCGUCGUACGUAAUAAAUUAAUCGGGGUAAAUAUCGUUAAAAUAAAAAAGCAAAAUAUCGGCGGCGUUAUUUCCGAAACGGAAUUCGACGUAAACGCGUUUAUUUAUAUCGGUGGAACAAUACGUUCCGUCGAACAAUAAUUUGGUUUCAAUUCGGCGGUACCAGAUUUCGAAAAUAACCUCGUUUUUAUUGGAAUUAUUUGAAAAUGUCGAAGGAUUUUUUACGCGGAAUUUGUAAUAUAAACCACCGGAACUAAUACCAAUAAUAAUCGCGGUAAUUUUUCGUCGGGAACGGGUUUCGCGGAACAAACGCGAAAUAAUGGCCUCGUUUUUUUAUUUGGUAUUAUUUAAUAAAUUAAUUUGGUCCUAUAUAUAAAUAAUGCGAUUUUUCAAUUUGUUUACUAUUAUUUAAUAUUUUUCCUCGGAAAAAAAAUUUCGUUAAUUUUGCGUAUCGGUUUAUUAAUAUUUACUAAUAGUAAAAUUCGCUGGUCCCACUUAUUUAACCGAACGGGUUCGUUGGUAUUUUUUCGGAAAUCGGUGGUUUCGUUUUUCCUUUUAACCGUUAUAAUAUUUUCCGCGCGUUUUGGGAUCGACGGGCGACGUUAAACCCGUAUUCGUACCAUAAAUUGCUAACGCUGGCGUUUUGCGCGGGGUGGAUUUAUUUCGGGGCGACCGUGGUUAAAUUCGACCUUUUAUUUUUCCAAUUAGGCGGUCGGCUACCGUUCGGCGUUGUUUUUGGUUAUUUCGGUAUCGUGUUUUAUAAACGUUCGUAUUUCUUUUCGGUAUUGCGCUUUAUAGGCGUUCGUAUUUUUUUUUAAUAUCGUAAGUAUUAUUAUACCGUUCCCGGUAAUUAAUUGGUUAAGUUUUAAAUAUUAUUACGAAAACGAUCCCAAAAAAACAAAAUUGCAAUAUAGGGGCGAUUUUAUUCGAAAAUUUAAAAUUAAGUGUAAAAAAAGAAAAAAGGUACGCAAUGCUAAUCGCGUACACGUAUUUAAGCAAACAAAUAACAAACUUACCCUGGCGCUUUAUCACGCAAGGUGGAGCUAGUUACGAUUGGUAGUCGCCCAGGUACGCCAUUCCGUAACAUUCCCCUCCCCAUUUGUAUCUUUUUCCUCCUGUACUGGACUAUCCGCAUUUCUUAAUUGUAAUAAAUUUUGAAUUUCCUAUAUAGUAAAUAACCGUUUUGCGCGAAUACGUGUUUUUUUGGCCCUCCGUCGCUUAUUAAACGCUUCGUUGACCUUCCGAAGGCUGCGGACCUCUGCUGAUAAAAGCGUAAUUUAGUGCGCCAUUCCGUUUAUACCUUUUGUUUAUCGCUUUACUGCUUUAAAAAUUAAAGUGGAAAAGCUGUUUUAAUAACAAUUAAUUCGAGAUUUAACAAACGUAAAUUAAUAAACGGCUUUUUUUCGGGUUGUAAGGCGUUUGGGAAACCCAGGGGUCGGUAUUGGGGAAAAUAAGCUUUUUAGGUGACGGCGUCCGUAAUUUUACAUCCAAGUUGGAUAUAACCGUUUCCGGAUUAUAAGGAAUAAGCCCGGCCCUUCGAAAACCCCCGGCCAUAUUUUCUUUCGUUAUAAACUUUUUGUAGGCCGUUGCAAAGGCCAAAAAAAAAUUCGAUUUUGCUAAUAUUAUUAAUAUGGGCCCGGAUAAAAUCGUUGAUUUUUUAACCGUACCCCCGUUUAAAGACGUUAAAUACUCCGACGUUAAAUGGUUAAAUUAAAUAAAAUAAAUAAAUUGGUAGCUAAAGUGGAAUAAUAUUAUAAUUUUUGCAAUAGUUUUCGAAUUCGGGCGAUUAAUAACUGUUAUACCCAUCGAACAUUAGCAUUCGAUAUAUACCUUUUAUCCGCAAUUUUGUAUAAUUGUCGAAACACCGAACCUAAUCCAAACCUGUUUCGUUAUUUGUUUAUCCAUUAAGGGUUGUUUUAAAAUGCCAAAAGGCGGGAAAACCGCCUUUUGUAUACCAAUUCGCAAAAUGGUGGGCCCUUUUAAUAAUAAAAAAUGGGGGUAUAUUAUAACCGUCGUUACUAAUGUAGUAGAUUGCAAUAGCCCAUUUUCGAUUACCAGGUUGGAUUUUCUUCCUUUUUCCGCGUUUUUCGGACCCAAUUACGAUUAUAUAUGCGCAAAUUUGGCCUAUUAUAAAGCCGGUUUCGUCGAGGUUGUAAAUGUCGCAAUUCUAAAUGCCGUAUUUAACCUUUAUAUUGGUUAUUAAUCGAAACGACGCGUUUAACGCGUUAGGAUUUUCGCAAAAGGCCCUUUAAAAGUCGUAAACGCGAAAAAACGCGUUUUUAACUUUAUACGUCGCUUUACAAAGCGAUAAACCCAUUAUUUACCGACCGGUCGCGCGUCCCGCGCAGCGAAUAAAUGGUCGGUUAUUACGGCCACAUUAGCGAUUUGAGGCGGAAAUUCUCAAAAAUCCAGGUCCAGUAUAUAUUGGAUUAUUAUUUCCUUUUCGCUUUCCGUCAAUUUUUAAUUGCCUGGCCGAUGGUCGGCCAAAAAAACGCGACCAUUUAUUUUGGUUUGGAAUGUUAACCGUGGUAUAUUGUAGGUUGUAGCGACCCGUCGAAUCCUGGGUUUUUUGCAAAUCGAAGCUUUAUAAGCGUUAAAUUGAUUUGCGCUUCUUGGUUUGACGGUUCCAUCGUUGGUGGUGGAAAAAACACGUAUUAAAAAGAAAGGAUGGUUUAUGUUGGAAAAAUGGCCUGGGUCCUGAUAUGGCCCGGGUCCUGAUAAACCACGUUAUUCCCUUUUGCCUGCCUGCUUAUUUAUUUCACCUAAUUUAGCCAUUUAAUGUCGGAAUGUUUAACGUCUUUAAACGGGCGUACGGACAAAAAAUCAACGAUUUUAUCCGAACCUAUAUCACCAACAUUAGCAAAAUCGAGUUUUCUUUUAGUAUUUGUAACAGUUUACAAAAAUUCGGUAACGAAAGAAAAUAAGGCCGGGGGUUUUCGAGAAACUGGACUUAUCUUUUAUAACCGGGAAACGGUUAUAUUUAAAUUGGAUAUAAAAUUAGGAACGCCGUUACCCAAAAAGCUUAUUUUUUCCAAUAUCCAUACCUGGGUUUUUUAAACACCACAUAAUUCGACAAAAGCGAUUUAUCAAUCGACGUUUGUAAAAAUUCGUAUUAACGGUUAUUAAAAAAGUUCGCCAACGCUUAUAUUCGAUGCUGUAAAACGAUUGGCGAAAGGUAUGGACGCAUUUGCGUACAAAUAUACCCUUUUCGAAAUAAAAGUCCGCAGCUUUCGGACAACCAACGAAACGUUUAACAAACGACGCAGGGUUAAAAAAACACGUGUUCGCGAAAAAAGGUUAUUUAUUAUAUAAAAGGUGCAAAAUUUGUUACAGUUAAAUAUUGGGGAUAAUCCGGUACAGGAGGGGGAAAAUAAAAACGGAAAGGGGAACAAAACGCGGCGGGAAAUUAAACGGCGCUGCGGCAAUUGCGGAAAAACAGGACAUAAUGUACGCACUUGUUUGGAGAAUGAAGAAAUAUCCAAUUUUUAUACUUCCGAAUGUAUUAAGGUUAAUUAAACAACGCUGGCGUUGCAUAUAAAAUUGGGAGUUGGUCCAUGUUGGAAAAGUGGCCAGGGUAUUAAUAAACCACGUUAUUUCAAAUAAAACAACGUAGCAAAGUAGCUUAGAAUAUUAAUAAACGCGAAUUAAAACCCUAACUUCUGUUCCAUUA
rnacentral:sRNA from 1 species